AGGAUUGACCUCGGAUCAGGUAGGGAUACCC
rnacentral:rRNA from 1 species